rnacentral:rRNA from 1 species
CGGCGGACGGGUGAGUAACACGUGGAUAACCUACCUAUAAGACUGGGAUAACUUCGGGAAACCGGAGCUAAUACCGGAUAAUAUAUUGAACCGCAUGGUUCAAUAGUGAAAGACGGUUUUGCUGUCACUUAUAGAUGGAUCCGCGCCGCAUUAGCUAGUUGGUAAGGUAACGGCUUACCAAGGCAACGAUGCGUAGCCGACCUGAGAGGGUGAUGGCCACACUGGAACUGAGACACGGUCCAGACUCCUACGGGAGGCAGCAGCU